UCACUGAGCCGCGCCAGCUGAGCCAGGUGGAGCCCUACUUUCCUCUCCUGCUUUCUGCCUGUGACUAGCGCCGUCCCCUACCGCCCGUCGACCCCACUUCCAUGUCUGGCGGACACAGCUCCCCGGAACCUCCACGCCCAUGGCCACUAGACAGAGGGAGUCUUCCUUCACCUCCUGCUUUUCCACCUGGAAUUGCGACGCGGGCGACGAGGGCGUGGGCUGCACCUGCGAAGAUGCUUCCUUGUGCAAGAAGCGCCUGUCGGGCGCGGGAUUCGGGGCUGGCAUCUGGGACGCGGGCUGAGGUGGGAGGCGGGCCUGCAUCUGAAGAAUACGCUCGGAGGCUGGCAGGUUGCUGCCCCCGCCUCGCACGACCCUCGCUUCCCACCUGUGAAAUGCACAGAACAGGGCUUCAUUUAUUUAACGAAUCGUUUCUGAGCUCCUGCUGUGAGCCAGGCUUGGAGCAAGCCUGGGUACUGUGGAUGGGAGCAGGCCCCUGAACCAGGCGGACGGGGUCUUGGCGUUCUCGGAGCUAAACGCUGCUAGAAAGACAAACAUGAUGCACCUAACUACUGUCUCCGUAGAUUAUGAGGAUGAGAGGUGGAGGUUCUCUCUCUUUUAGGCUUGCAGUAAGGUUGGGCUGCUGGCACGACCCUUACAUCCACCACUUUGUGAGACUGUCUAAAGACAGGAAAGUCCCUGAAAUCAACAGAGGCAGGAGUGAAGUUGUGUUCGAAAUUGGUGGGUUCUUGGUCUCACCGACUUCAAGAAUGAAGCCGCGGACCCUCGCAGUGAGUGUUACAGUUCUUAAAGGUGGCAUGUCUGGAGUUUGUUCCUUCUGAUGUUUGGAUGUAUUCGGAGUUUCUUCCUUCUGGUUGGGUUCGUGGUCUUGCUGGCUCAGCAGCGAAGCUGCAGACCUUCGCGGUGAGUGUUACAGCUCAUAAAGGCAGUGUGGACCCAAAUAGUGAGUACUAGCAGAAUUUAUUGCAAAGAGCAAAAAGAACAAAACUUCCACAGAGUAGAAGGAGACCCCAGCAAGCUGCUACUGCUAGUUCGGGCAGCCUGCUUUUAUUCUCUUAUCUGGCCCCACCCACAUCCUGCUGAUUGGUAGAGCCUAGGGGUCUGUUUUGACAGGGCGCUGAUUGGUGCCUUUACAAUCCCUGAGCUAGACAUAAAGGUUCUCCAAGGCCCCACCAGAGUAGCUAGAUACAGAGUGUCGAUUGGUGCAUUCACAA
rnacentral:lncRNA from 1 species